rnacentral:rRNA from 1 species
UAGGUUAAUGAGGCGAACCGGGGGAACUGAAACAUCUAAGUACCCCGAGGAAAAGAAAUCAACCGAGAUUCCCCCAGUAGCGGCGAGCGAACGGGGAGGAGCCCAGAGCCUGAAUCAGCAUGUGUGUUAGUGGAAGCGUCUGGAAAGGCGCGCGAUACAGGGUGACAGCCCCGUACACAAAAGCGCAUGUGCUGUGAGCUCGAUGAGUAGGGCGGGACACGUGGUAUCCUGUCUGAAUAUGGGGGGACCAUCCUCCAAGGCUAAAUACUCCUGACUGACCGAUAGUGAACCAGUACCGUGAGGGAAAGGCGAAAAGAACCCCGGCGAGGGGAGUGAAAAAGAACCUGAAACCGUGUACGUACAAGCAGUGGGAGCCCCACCACCAAAGCAUUCUCUGGUGUUGAAGGCCCUGCAAAGCAGCAUCGCGGUGGCGGAGCGUCGUUUGCGACGCCCAACACACAAAACAAGCGGUGAGUGCUUUGGGGUGGGGUGACUGCGUACCUUUUGUAUAAUGGGUCAGCGACUUAUAUUCUGUAGCAAGGUUAACCGAAUAGGGGAGCCGGAGGGAAACCGAGUCUUAAUUGGGCGUUAAGUUGCAGGGUAUAGACCCGAAACCCGGUGAUCUAGCCAUGGGCAGGUUGAAGGUUGGGUAACACUAACUGGAGGACCGAACCGACUAAUGUUGAAAAAUUAGCGGAUGACCUGUGGCUGGGGGUGAAAGGCCAAUCAAACCGGGAGAUAGCUGGUUCUCCCCGAAAGCUAUUUAGGUAGCGCCUCGUGAAUUCAUCUCCGGGGGUAGAGCACUGUUUCGGCUAGGGGGCCAUCCCGGCUUACCAACCCGAUGCAAACUGCGAAUACCGGAGAAUGUUAUCACGGGAGACACACGGCGGGUGCUAACGUCCGUCGUGAAGAGGGAAACAACCCAGACCGCCAGCUAAGGUCCCAAAGUCAUGGUUAAGUGGGAAACGAUGUGGGAAGGCCCAGACAGCCAGGAUGUUGGCUUAGAAGCAGCCAUCAUUUAAAGAAAGCGUAAUAGCUCACUGGUCGAGUCGGCCUGCGCGGAAGAUGUAACGGGGCUAAACCAUG